UAAGUAUAAGCAACUAUACUGUGAAACUGCGAAUGGCUCAUUAAAUCAGUCAUAAUUUAUUUGAUAGUACCUUUACCUGGAUAACCGUGGUAAUUCUAGAGCUAAUACAUGCUAAAAACCUCGACUUCGGAAGGGGUGUAUUUAUUAGAUAAAAAACCAAUGCCCUUCGGGGCUCCUUGGUGAUUCAUAAUAACUUAACGAAUCGCAUGGCCUUGCGCCGGCGAUGGUUCAUUCAAAUUUCUGCCCUAUCAACUUUCGAUGGUACAGUAGUGGUCUACCAUGGUUUUAACGGGUAACGGGGAAUUAGGGUUCUAUUCCGGAGAGGGAGCCUGAGAAACGGCUACCACAUCCAAGGAAGGCAGCAGGCGCGCAAAUUACCCAAUCCCAAUUCGGGGAGGUAGUGACAAUAAAUACUGAUACAGGGCUCUUUCGGGUCUUGUAAUUGGAAUGAGAACAAUUUAAAUCCCUUAACGAGGAACAAUUGGAGGGCAAGUCUGGUGCCAGCAGCCGCGGUAAUUCCAGCUCCAAUAGCGUAUAUUAAAGUUGUUGCAGUUAAAAAGCUCGUAGUUGAACCUUGGGCCUGACCGAUCUGUCCUCCUAAUCGAGCGCACGGAUUCGGUUGGGUCUUUCCUUCUGGGGAGCCCUAUGCCCUUCACUGGGCGUAGUGGGGAACCAGGACUUUUACCUUGAAAAAAUUAGAGUGUUCAAAGCAGGCAUUUGCUCGAAUACAUUAGCAUGGAAUAAUAGAAUAGGACAUCGGUUCUAUUUUGUUGGUUUCUAGGACCGCUGUAAUGAUUAAUAGGGAUAGUCGGGGGCGUCAGUAUUCAAUUGUCAGAGGUGAAAUUCUUGGAUUUAUUGAAGACUAACUAUUGCGAAAGCAUUCGCCAAGGAUGUUUUCAUUAAUCAGUGAACGAAAGUUAGGGGAUCGAAGACGAUCAGAUACCGUCGUAGUCUUAACCAUAAACUAUGCCGACUAGGGAUCGGACGGUGGUUUUUUAUGCCCCGUUCGGCACCUUACGAGAAAUCAAAGUUUUUGGGCUCUGGGGGGAGUAUGGUCGCAAGGCUGAAACUUAAAGAAAUUGACGGAAGGGCACCACNAGGCGUGGAGCCUGCGGCUUAAUUUGACUCAACACGGGGAAACUCACCAGGUCCAGACANNNNNNNNNNNGACAGAUUGAUAGCUCUUUCUUGAUUAUAUGGGUGGUGGUGCAUGGCCGUUCUUAGUUGGUGGAGUGAUUUGUCUGCUUAAUUGCGAUAACGAACGAGACCUUGACCUGCUAAAUAGCUAGAUUGACUUUGGUUGGUCGCCAGCUUCUUAGAGGGACUUUUGGCUCAAGCCAAUGGAAGUACGAGGCAAUAACAGGU
rnacentral:rRNA from 1 species